rnacentral:rRNA from 1 species
CAAUAGCGUAUAUUAAAGUUGUUGCGGUUAAAAAGCUCGUAGUUGGAGUUCUGCCAGGUGCCGCCUGUCCGCCCCAGUGGUGAGUACGUGGCGCGCAUUUGGCCCUUUCAAGGGGAGCGUAUCUGCACUUUAUUGUGUGGUGCGGGAUCCUUGACUUUUACUUUGAGGAAAUAGGAGUGUUCCAAGCAGGCUCUCGUCGUGCACAGCUCAGCAUGGAAUAAUAGCAUUGGACCUCGAUUCUAAGCUGUUGGUUGCCAGAAGCGAGGUAAUGAUUAAGAGGGACAGUCGGGGGCAUUCGUAUUUCAUUGUCAGAGGUGAAAUUCUUGGAUUUAUGAAAGACGAACUACUGCGAAAGCAUUUGCCAAGGAUGUUUUCAUUAA